AUUUGGUAGUACAACCGAAUUGGCUUCUGAGAAGGAUAGCAGAGUCUCUUGUCUUUGUGAGCAAUGGAACAUUGUUCUUCAAUUUGGCAUUAAAUCCA